AAGCAUGGAGGGAAAGCAGUGACCGUGUGAGCUGCUCAUAGCAUUUCUCAGUGCCUUGCCAACUAUGUUUUCUUUUAGGGCAUAAUCUGUGAGAGCUGGCAGACCUUCUCUUGGCUUUGCCUAAUUAAAUCAGCUGGGAAAGGGCGUGCUGGAGAGGAGGAGCUCUUAGUGUGUCCUCACCAUUACUUUGCACCCUUCAGUUUGCACCAAUGAGGAUAUUCUCCCUGGACUGAAUCAGGAGGAUCUCAGGAUUUGGCUACAUGGUUGAUCUACCCUUUUUUGACCUCGCUAUAAAAUGCUGUCAUGGGUCCAUUCCAACUUGGGAUAUUCCAUGGUUCUAUGAUUCACAGCCUCACAGAAUCGGUCCCCUAUCUCCUUGCCUUUUUGUAUUAUUGCUCUGUAACUGUCAGGGUGGAACACUAUGUUCCCCACGUCCACAAUGGCCAGGACAAGAAUAGGGCUAAAAUUAAACCACACGCAGAUGGAAUUAAAUGAAGAAAUGCUUGAAACGAGGCUUGGUGAAGCAUCAGAAUCUGUUAUUUGGAUGAGGCUGUGGAGUGCAGAUGUUCCUGCCUGGGGCAGAGGGAUGCUUCAAGGUCAUUGAGCGGCCGCUUCACAUCCCAACCAGGGCCAGAUUUGGGCUCAGCCCUUCUGGGAUGCCAGGCAAGCUGUUAAGAGCUACGUGCAAUCACAGACAGAGACAGAGAAGCAGUAGAGAUUAUUCUGAAUCCCAACCCGAUCAGAAAUAAAUAACAUCACCUCCCAGAGACCACAGAGUACCUGAAGGGCAUUUGAAACCUUUGCAUGCCAACAGUGCUUUUCUGGCGGGGUCAUCUUCUGAGACGAAAAGUUCAGUGUCUGCAGUGGUUGUGCUGAGGCUCCCACAGAUGGAUGCUCAGAGGUAAUUACGUGGCACCCGGGCACUUUUAUUGUCUGUGAGAUGGAGGCAUGUCAGGGGCUUGGGCAGCAUUGUUCAUGUAGGUCAUCAAGCUUAACAAGGCAGCAAUGAACUGCUGCACUCAUUUGGGGAAAGGAUGUAAUUAUCUAGAGGUUUUGAUGGGAAAUAAUUGCUAAAGGCUUUGGUACGUGAACAAGUUGCCAUUGUGAAAGAAGUUCUCAGCCAUCGACCGCUCCACAGGAGCUCCGAGUGCCCAAGCUUACCCUGGUGCAGAUAGACAGUGAGUUGCCAUGGGUUAUCUUGCUUUCAUAAACGUGUAAGACCUUUUAAGGGGGCAGUAACUGUAGAUCUGCCAAAGUGGGGUAACGUUUUACAAUACAGCAACACAACUGUGUGCCAAAGCCCUACAAGCAGGUUGAGGGCAUGUAAGUUCUCCAAAUUACAGCACCCAUUACUCUUACUCCUCUUCAACCUGCGUGUCUUGUUGCCGUGUAUAAAGUCUUAAUGAAUUUAGAGCCUCACCAAAGGGGCAUUACUCAUAUUUUACUGAUCAGAAGAUAAACCCCAAAUAACACAUAAUAAAGGGUGUUUUCCCUGAUUCCCAGGCUUCUGAGCUAAACUACAGCCAGUGCUUUCUUUAAUAACUCAGCAACGUAUUGGGAAAAUAAACCUGAAUCUAGCCAUCCAUGUUAAAAACAAACAAACCCAAAACCUCUUUCAUGAGAAAUAACAACCUUUUGGCUAUAUUUUGUGUGUCUAAGUAACCACCUCAUAACAUGCUAAUGAUCGCUAGACAUAAGCAGCAACAUUACUGUAUAGCAAAGAUAUUACUGUAUUGCUUAGGGUAUAUUGCAUGUUAGUGCAUUAAUAUAAUUGUACAGUCUGUUUAGCAAGACUGCUUUUAUAAGCAGGAAUAUAAUUUUACUAGUGUCUUAUUGCAAGUUUGUGAAUUAGUGUAGUUUUCCAGCUUGCAUAAAUACGUACUGAAAGCAGAAGGUUCUUUUUUUCCAUGAACUUCAGUGUAUGCUGUAUCAAGAACUUAAGGAUCAACUUGAGAAACAGGAUAUGAUAAUGAUCCUGAAAAUAUUUUCUGACCAUCUCACAGGAUAUAGGAGGUGACGGAAUCACCAUCCCUGGAGGUUUUCAAGAAAACUGUGAUGUUACACUGGGUUACACUGUUUAAUGGUAUGCUGGCAAUGGAUCAAUGGUUAGACUGGAUGAUCUUAGUUGGCUUUCCAGCCUUGAUGAUUCUUUGAUUCAUGCUACAGUAGCAUUUUUCUCCCAUUCUAGUGCACUGUCUAAUGAACAUCACUUUCACAGCUGGCCUCCCCAUCAGUUUUUCCCUCUGGUGCCUAGAGAUUAGAACUCCUAAUAUGUUUUUGUCAUUUCUGAGGAUCAUCUGUGCUGUUUCAGCCCCCUGUGCUCUGUUGGGAUGUACUUCCAGUCUGAGUGUGCCAUCUCAAAUGUGAACCUUGGGGUUGGAUGGCUGUGAGAGCCAUACUUGCAUCCUUCCAGAAAUCUUUACAGACCUGUUCCAAGAUGAUAACAUCAGUUUUUUCACAAGCAACUUGAAUAGAAAUCAAAAUAUCUUAGCUAAGUUUGCUAGGCCAAGAGGAAAGACCUGGGAUACGCAGAUGGAGGUGAAAUCUCAUGAUUUUCCCAAUUACACUACCAUGUAUCACUGCGACCCAGCAACUGCUAUGGCAAAGCUGCACCAGCAACAACAUGGGGUCUCCUAUGUCUAUGAUGGUCAUGGCUGGACUGGGAUGCAGUGUCUGAGAAGUGAGAAACAGCAGCUGAAUGUGGGUCUUGUGAGCUGGCGCGUGGAAACGGAGCCCCACUACACUGUGAGACCAUCUGAGCCACACAUGUUCAGAGAAGGCACUUCCAUUUGGCUGUUAUCUCGGAAUGGGGGAAAUGUGGAAGAUAAAUCUGAAGGUUUUUCCAGACAAAGGGAACUUAUCAAGUAAUAUUGAAACAGCCGGCUCGGAGCCAAGCUAGGAUUUGGCCCUUAUUUUGAGCUGAGUAGAUAGAAACUGUGGCCAAGGAUCAGCUGGAAAACCACUUAACCUUUUUUGAGAUUGAACAGCAGCUUUUGCUGAGAAAGUCUGGUUUGAAAUACAAGCAUGGGAGAAAUGGAGAGCAAUGAUUUGUAUGAUGAUUGACAGCAUGUAAUGUAGGACAACCUACAAACACACCUCCUGAAGGUUGUGCCAUGUAUGAGCAUGUACUCUGAUGAGGUGCAGCUAGAAAAUAUAGGAGGUUAUAGAGGAAAAAAUGCAGUUUCUGAUCUUUUUCACCUCUUUUACUCUACCUUUCCUUUACCCUGCAUGUCUCAAAUCCUGCUUUAGGCCCAAGGUUUGCUAGGGGCACUGAAGGCAGAGGGAUUAUUUUAAUAGAAUUCAUGCAUCCUAAUUCUAAGGACCUUUAUUUAUUGAGUUAUUUAGCACCAAACAAGGGGAUUUUGAGCCAUGACUUGGGAUCCCUUAGCACUAUGCACAGCAGUUGGUUAAUGAGGGCACAAACAUUGUUUUCUGACAUGUAAUGCUACUAUUACUUCAAAUAUUUUGCUAAUAUUCUUUAAUCUCCCCUUGUGAUUGUCCCCUUCUGCAUUUUCAGUUAUCAACGUUUCUAAAUGAAGGAAUGUUGAAGUAUGGAAGAUUAGAUAAGGAAACAUUCAACAUCAAGAAGCUCUUUGCGCAGGGGGAGGGCUUUGAACGGGACUGUUGUAUUGAUUUGCUACACCAGAGCCUGUGUUUUAUCAGCAACACAUAAAUCAAAUGGUACCGUGCACAACAAUGUACAUACAGUUUUUAAUAGAGAAAGGGAACCCAUUCUCUGAAGUGCUUCUGCUUGCUGGUUGACAUGAGAGAAUGAAGGGUGAGUCUUUUUGUGUGUGUGUGUGUGUAAAUGGAGAAUGAUGGAGUAGGUCUAUGAGAAAAAAGACUGAGCUCAUUUCAAAUCCAAGGGAAGCUGCUCUGCUCCUGUCUCCCAGUGAUUCAUGAGCUGUCAUGCAUUACAGAUGGAUGCAGCCCGCUCUGACAAAACCCAUGACCUGAGCACUUCUAAAAACCAUGGCACCCCGGGCAGGGUCGUGCAUGCAGGACUGGGGGAGAAAGCAGGAAUGUGGCUCAGGGAAGGGACAGCCCAUUAAGCUGCUGUGUAGCAGUGGCAGCAAAGUGCCUCAAAAGGAAACAAAAGGACUGUGGGCUGCGAUGCUCCUUCCUGUUUGAGGUUUCAUUUUAUCCUAAAACAACACCUCAUCAAUUUAAGCCAAGCUUUACUAUGGCAGGUCAAAGCCAACAUAAAAUCAUAGUACCUUUUUGUAUAGUACCUUAUGUUAAACUUUGUCAAUUUUCCCAGGUGGAGGAUGCCUAGUUGCUUGUGUGUUGGAUGACAUUGGGCAAUGUCUGUGUCUGUGCAGAAGCUCUGUUUUCUCCCCACCUUAUAUCCAGACACACAUUCUGGGCCCUCCAUAUCUCUUCUCUCUCCUGCAGAAUAGUGGUGUUGAAGCACGGAAAGUAAGGGUGUAAAUGGGACUACUCGUAGUGUGUGGGAAACCAAGCAGAAUGUAAAUGAGCUACCUAUUGAAGCUUCAAGCUUGGCGUUGCUCAGGGAGCCCAACAUAAACCUUCCUCCUCCAUGGGGAGGACGUGCAGCCUCCUGCCCUGCAUCCUACUGGCUUGGUUUGCCCUCCAGCCCCCCCCCCCCCCCCCCCUCCAAUCCCCAGUCACUGCAGUUAUUUCACAGGUAGCACCAUCCAGCAGGGCUUAAACAUACAGCAAGGUUGAGCCUGGCCUGCUAAGAUCAUCUCUUCCCCAUUAAAGUAAAUUAAAUUUGGAUGGGUAGGAAGGAGAGCAAAAUUUAGCCUAGUUUGUCUUUUCUGUGAAAAAGUUAAUAUGGCACAGUGCCCAGGCAAAUUCAGCUUGCUCUGUGCCAUAAUGCUGUUCUGCAGCUACCAAACCAGACCUGACUUGCUCCUUGCCUGAGCCUGGUGAGCAGACAUGCCUUAAGGAUAUGUCUACGCUGUAGGACAGAGUCAUUUUUCUGCUUCUCAAGUACCAGACUCUUCUGUGCUUGCUUUGUCUCUAAUCUACCACCUCUCGUAAUCCAUGAAGAAAGUGCUUCUGUUUGAAUUCACCAUGUUGGCUCAAAGAAACAGAUCUGAACUUUCCCUCAAAACCAGUAGGAGAGCCCUGUGCAGGACCUGAGCUGCUCACUGAAGGGUGGCUGUGUUCCUAUGAGCCACUUUGGUGGGACAUGGGUAAGUCAAGUUGAUGGCUGGACUUGAUGAUCUCGAAGGUCUUUUCCAACCUAACCGAUCCCAUGAUUUCCACUCUGCCAUCCCACAGAGGUUUUUUCUCUGAGCUGAGCAGUGGGCCACAGGGCAGUGAAUGAUGGCAAGGAGAUGGAGAGUGAAGGCACUGUGCCCAAGUCCAGGCGUGAGGAAGCCCCAGUGACUGUGUUUGCUCACAGCCUGUUUUUCCACUGAAUGCUGCCAGCCUCCAGGCUGCUUGAACACCACGUGCUGCUUGCAUUGCUGUCUUUUCAUCUGCCACCCCUUGGUGUCCCCUGAGGUGUGCGGGCUGGGGAUAGCUGCAGGUGACUGGAAAUGCUGCUGGAAAACAACCCCUCAUGAGGGAAUUAACUCUUGCUUUUAUUUCUUUUUCUGGUGUGAAUACAGCUCUGAGGAUGCAGGAGAGCUUUGCUGAUGUUCCUUCAGAGCUUGAAAUAGUUUUCUUCCCCAAAGAUGGAUGCUGAGCACUUUCAAGCUGGCCAUUUAGAGAGUUUGUGAGCAGAAAUCAAUCCAGGCAGAAAAAAUGUACAUCUACCUGUUUACAUCAUAAACCACAAACGCGUUUGCAUCCUGCAACAAACACCUGGGCAACAUCCAGAGGAGACAUUCCCAACGUGUUAACUACUGCCAGCGCUGGGAUCCUGUAACCACAGCACAUGGAGAUGAUGGGAACUCAGUUAAAUUAAGGAGAACCACCAAGAUUGUGAAACGUGGCAGCAGGACAAGAGCUGGUUGCAACACAGGCUGGACUUCAGAAGUGUGACCUUUCGACCUGAAUCACGAUGAGUGGUUAUGAGGAAGAGCUGCUCUCACUUCUAAAUUAUUGCCAUGCAAUGAGCAGGUUUCCAUGGGGUAGCUGAAGGCAUGUCCUGAGGUACAAGGGAUACAAGCAUCCCAUUCUUGCUCUACUUUGCACUAAAGGACUGGUCUUAGAGGAGCUUAUUCUCUAAAAAUGACCUGACUGGCUGAAUAAAACACAAUUUCUGUUUUAAUAUUGUUGUGUUAUGAAACACUGCAAUAGAGGCACAAAUGUGGGCAAGAACAAGUUUUACUGCAGACGCUUUAUCUGCUGAUAGAUUGUCCCAGUGCUGCAUUCCUCAUUCCCUGGGGGUCUGGUCCAGCUCAGAUUGGAAGAUAGUGAAGAUCUUGGGAGAUCUCCAAUAGCGUGGGUCAAAAUUCACUGAUUACAGAAAUGCAAUUGGUUCAGUUGAUCUGCAUAAAGAAAAAAACCACAGCCCAUAGUGGGAAUGUAGAGUAGGAUUGAGAGGAAAAGCUGAGCCCUAAUAGGGAGGCUGGUGCGUGGUGUAUUCAAUAAUUGCAUUUAUGAAUAAACAAUUAAGUAUUACCAAUGAAUCUCUUGCAUUUUAUUGACCCAGGCACAGAAGCUGCUUUUUGGCACUGAUGACUUGCUCAGUUCGCGCUUGACAAUGGGGAAUUGUAGUGGCUGUUCCCUUAAGAAAUCAUCCAAGAUUGGGACUUAUUUGUGCGCCAUUGCUUGCAUCAAUUAACAGUACAAUCUUUUUGUUAUGAAAACGCAAACAUUAGUAGCCUGAGGAGCCUUGUAAAUGCAAAUAUAAAACUUUAAUUUCAGUAACCCCCACUUUCCCUUCAAGUACAAUAAAGGCUCUUUUUUUUUUUUUUUUUUUCAUUUGCUGUUACAACGACGGGUCUUUAUUAUUAUUAUUAUUAUUUUUCCUCUUUCUCUUCACUUUACAUUGAGUUUAACUCAGGGGAUUUCAGUAGGGAUAGUUUUCCAUCAGCAGAUAUGGGGUGGCUGCAGCCGGUGCUGGGAUCUGUGGGCUCCUUGGGGCAGGUCAGUGCCAACCAUAGGGAG
ensembl:lncRNA